CACACACGCACACACACACACGCACGCGUACACAGUCAUAGCUUUUGAAACUGAACAUAACUUCCAAAGAUCCACACUUCCAUCUUUUUUUUUAAAUUCUCAUAUUCUCUUAUCUUUUAUUCCACAGGAAAUCAGACUGUACAGCUCCUCCCCUUCUCUAAAACAUAACACACACCGAAAUGCUGCCCUGUUGUUGAGUUACUGCUUUUUGAACAUGUACCGUUAUAAAGAAUAUUUCUGUUUUGCUUGUUUACUUUGUAGUUUUGAAUUUGUAUGUCAGUUGUAAUAAAUAAAUAAAUAAAUAAAUAAAUAAUAACUAAAUACAGGUAUUUUUUUUUUAUCCUUCUCACAGCUGGAGAACAUGCAUGCUGAAAAUGUUCAUUUUGACCACUAGAUGGCAGCAGAUAUUUUUCAUCCACCUCACACACUGAAGGGAAUAAAAUCUGUUUAAAUCUGGUUCUAUGAGCAGCUACUACACCUACAUGACAGCUCAUGGACUUUAGGACUGGAUUCUGAUCAUUAGCUAGUAGGAUCUAUGAGGAAUAAAACACUUUUAUUGGAAAAUCAUCCACAACAGGGCGGUGUGAUGGAGAAGGAGCACCUAUAAACAGUCAUCCCUCUCUUCUCUCCCUCUCUCUCUCUCAAAAAGCUGGUCAUUUUAUCAUUUAUAUGAUUCAAAGCCGAUCAACAGAGGUUUACAUUAGUUAGUCAUCCUGUGCAUAGAUGUACUUUAUUUAUUCCCCCGCUUUAUUUAAGCAGGAAGUUUCCAUUGAGAUAAUACAGUCUCUUAAAUCCUGAUCAAGACGGCAGCACAGUUAAGUUUCACAGUAAAAUUCAACAGCAAAUUCUACAAGUACAUAUAUUAAAAACAAAACAAAACAACAACAAAAAACCCCACACAGUCAAUGUAUAAAAACCGAUCAAUAAAAACGACGACACGUCUCCUUUAAUGCAGUCUGCAAAAGACCUUUAAAAGUUCUCAAAGAGGGAAGGAUAUCCAAGUUGAUCACAUUUGGCAAUUUCAUUCCAUACCCACGGAGCAAAAAAAAAAAAACGGAAAGCUGUCUUACCAAAUUCUGAAUGUACCCCCUGGGACUUUCAGCCGAACUUGAGUUGUAGAUCUCGUGCGGUGACUUAGUUUAAAGAUUAAAAGUUAAAAGAUUAGAAACAUGGGAAGGUAACUGACCUAAACGCGUCUUGGCAGUGAAUAAAAACAUAUGCAGUUAUCUCCUGUGAUUGAAGGACCAAGCUGACGAUCCAUAUAAAACACAGUGACGAGUACGAGACUCGCACAACGAGCAAAGUGUAGCGCAGCGUGACGGACAGCGUCCAGUGUUCUGAGUGAGGAUGCAGCUGAACGCAUAUAUAAUAUAUAUAUAAUCAUAUAUACCUUCAGAAAGAUGGUUCUCAAACCACUUUAAAGCAACCUCUAAGACCUACAUGCUUCAGUCUGUGAUGGACAGAAUCGAAUGCUUUUGAAAGAUGAACAGAUGAAGCCGCACAAGACUGUUUCCUAUAAAGAGCUGAUCAUAUGACUCGUGACUAACAUGGCUGCUGUAACGGUACCACGGCCCGAUCUAAAGCCUGAUGGAGCGUCAGUAAGGAGAUUAUCAUCAGAUAAGAAUCGCUUUAUUUGAUUGUUUAGGAAAGAUUAAUAUACUUUAUCUAAGACCGGCAGUUUGGAGAUCUGGUGAUAAUUGUUUGGAUCAGAGGGAUCUCCACUCUUUAAUAAAGGGACAACCACUGCCGAUUUCCUCAUUCUAGGCAUAACGUAGAAGUUAAACUUAAAUUAUAUAUAUAUAUAUAUAUAUAUAUAUAUAUAUAUAUAU
ensembl:lncRNA